AUGGACACGGGUGCCACCAAUCACAUCACAGGCGAGUUGGACAGGCUGACUAUGCAUGAGAAAUAUCGUGGCCAUGAUCAAGUCUACACUGCAGCAAACGGUGCAGGUAUGGAAAUAAGUCAUGUUGGUCAAUCCUUUAUCAAAACCCCACACAAAAACCUUGAAAUCAAUGACAUCUUGUAUGUUCCUAAUGCUUCCAAAACUCUGCUAUCUGUUCAUCGUAUUGCUCUUGACAAUAAUGUGUUUCUAGAGUUUCACCCAUUCUUCUUUUUGAUCAAGGAUCAGGUCACGAAGAAAGUUCUCCAUAGGGGUGUCUGUGUUGAAGGCCUCUAUGCUUUGCUUCCCAAGUAUUGCCAGAACAAUAAACAAGUGUAUGGUGCCAUCAAGCUUUCUGCUGAAAGGUGGCACAAUCGCUUAGGUCAUCCUUCUUUUUCUACUGUUCAUCAGAUCCUUAGUAGAAAUAAACUCCCGGUUGUUGGUGAGAGAAACUUAGAAACCAUUUGUGAUUCAUGUCAACAAGCAAAAAGUCAUCAAUUGCCAUAUCCUGUGUCUACUAGUGUUUCCACUAAGCCUUUACAACUUAUUUUUUCUGAUGUGUGGGGUCCUGCCCCCACCUCUGUUGGUAGACACUCUUACUAUGUAAGCUUCAUUGAUGAUUACAGCAAGUAUACAUGGAUAUAUCUCCUUAAGAAACGUGCUGAUUUGUUCCAAGUUUUUCACAAUUUUCAAGCUCUCGUUGAACGCAAACUUGAUAGCAAAAUUAUCUCUGUCCAGUCGGACUGGGGGGGGGGGGGUGAGUAUGAGAAACUUAAAUCUUUUUUUCAAAAGAUAGGUAUCUCACAUCACGUAUCUUGUCCCCAUGCGCACCAACGGAAUGGCUCUGCUGAACGCAAGCAUAGGCACAUCGUUGAAGUAGGUCUUGCUAUCUUAGCUUCUGCUUCAAUGCCACUAAAAUUUUGGGACGAAACCUUUCUCACUGCCGUGCAUCUCAUCAACAUGUGGCCUAGUCGCACUAUUUCUAAUGCAACUCCCACUGAACGUCUCUUUCAUGUCACACAAGAUUACACCACACUUCGCGUUUUUGGGUGUGCCUGUUGGCCAAAUCUUCGUCCCUACAACACUCGUAAGCUUAGUUUCCGGUCUAAGCAAUGUGUCUUUCUUGGGUAUAGCGCUCAGCAUAAGGGGGUCAAGUGCUUAGAUGUUUCCACCGGACGUGUGUAUAUCUCACGUGACGUUGUGUUUGAUGAAACUCAAUUCCCUUUUGCAAAACUCCAUCCAAACGCCGACGCCCUUCUCCGAAAGGAAAUUCUUCUCCUUCCUCCUCAGUUAUCCGGCGUUCCGUGUGAGGGUGAUGAUAUUUGUACUGAUCCAACAUUGACUAAUCCAUCACCUAUUGCACCUGAGUUUUGUAUUUCAGCAGCAAAUGGCGCAGAAAACACUGUUUCAGCAGCAACAGAAGAGGCAACAGGAGAUCCCAGCGAAUCCUCCUCGGGAUCGCUGCUGGGCCCAGGCAGACUGCCGAGUCAGUCCCGCCCGGUCGCGUCGCGCCUUCCCACCGACCCGCCCUCCCCACGUGCGGUGCACCAAUCGGCUGCAGGGGGCAGCCCGACCAGGCGGUCUGCGCCGGAUUCCCCGAGCGAGGCGCGCCAAUCACCUGCCGAGGACAGCCCGACCAGGCGGUACGCGCCGAUCCCGCAGGUCUACUCUAGGCGGGCCCCUGCGCCUGCAUCGGCUAGCCGCGGCACGGUCCCCGCGUUUGAUUCACCCGGAUCUUCUGCGGCUGCCUCUGAUGAUCCUUCCACUGCAGCUGCCACAGAAGAUCCCGCGCUGUCGAGCGGAUCUGUCUCGGGAUCGCCAGGACUGUGUUCGUCGCUGUCGCCCGGAUCGUCUACGGCUCCUCAGCCGCGGCCUCGUACGCGUCUACAGGCAGGAACCAUUCAUCCAAUUAAUUACAAGACUAAAUAUGGUUUAGCUACUUCCAUUGAUUCCACAGGUGAACCUCGGACUGUCACCGAUGCUCUUGCUGAUCCUCGCUGGAAACACGCUAUGGAUGAAGAAUUUAGUGCUCUGCAGAAUAAUCAUACAUGGCAUCUUGUUCCUUAUCAUCCACGUUACAACAUCAUUGAUUGUAAGUGGGUUUAG
rnacentral:rRNA from 1 species